rnacentral:rRNA from 1 species
GGACCCGCACAAGUAGUGGAGCAUGUGGUUUAAUUCGAAGAUACGCGCAGAACCUUACCAACACUUGACAUGUUCGUCGCGACUCUAAGAGAUUAGAGUUUUCGGUUCGGCCGGACGAAACACAGGUGCUGCAUGGCUGUCGUCAGCUCGUGUCGUGAGAUGUUGGGUUAAGUCCCGCAAUGAGCGCAACCCUCACUUUUAGUUGCCAUCAUUUAGUUGGGCACUCUGAAAGAACUGCCAGUGAUAAGCUGGAGGAAGGUGGGGAUGACGUCAAGUCCUCAUGGCCCUUACGUGUUGGGCUACACACGUGCUACAAUGGUAUCUACAAAAGGAAGCAAGACUGUAAGGUCAAGCAAAUCCUAAAAAGAUACCUCAGUUCGGAUUGCACUCUGCAACUCGAGUGCAUGAAGCUGGAAUUACUAGUAA